CUCGGUAGAUUAAUUCUCUGACAUCAUCAUUUGUUAACUUCUUUCUCUCGAAAUCAAACUCAAGCUUUGAGAUUGGCUGUGUUGAUGGUUCACGCUCUGAGUUUGACAAACCACUGAAGUAUGGAUCAGAUAGUGCCUGUAAAUAAGCAAAAUCAGAACAAUGAAAGAUAAGAGUUUAAGUCUGUGUAAGAAAAUGGGAAAGAAAAACAAAAAGGUACAUCUUCAGCAGAUGCACGGUCUUUGGGAUCAAAGGCAAGCAGGCGUUCAAGAAGGCGGAGAGCCAAAGGAUCAGCUUUAGAGAACUUAUGAGAGAAAGGGACUGGCUGUUUUUUCCUCUGCUAAGAUACCUCCUCGCCUUUCAUUUCUAAUCUGUCAUCAUUUCAAGAUUGCAACAUCAUAUUAUAAAAAAUUAAAAUUAAGUAUAUUGUAUGUUUCUGGCUAUGUCCAAGAAACAUACAAAGAUCUCCAAUGUCUUCUGUGUAGAUCAUUGUCUUAUUAUACUCACACGAUGGCUCCCCCGCCCUAUACACCAUAAAUUUUUUCGUUACGUGCUUCAAUGUCUACACCUCGUUUUCAUCGUCCUUCUCCGAGUCGGUGUCGGUGUCGGAGUUCGAGUCUGAGUCCAUCCACACCACUGAGUCCUUAC
rnacentral:lncRNA from 1 species